CCAAUAGCGUAUAUUAAAGUUGUUGCAGUUAGAAAGCUCGUAGUUGAAUUUCGGGGUUAGUAGGCUGGUCGCGCCACUGGUAUGUACUGGUCUCACUGAUUCCUCCUUCCUGAUGAGCUGUAAUGCCAUUAAUUUGGUGUUGCAGGGAAUCUGGACUGUUACUUUGAAAAAAUUAGAGUGUUUAAAGCAGGCUAACGCUUGAAUACAUUAGCAUGGAAUAAUGAAAUAGGACGUUCGAUCCUAUUUUGUUGGUUUCUAGGAUUGACGUAAUGAUUAAUAGGGAUAGUUGGGGGCAUUAGUAUUCAAUUGUCAGAGGUGAAAUUCUUGGAUUUAUUGAAGACUAACUACUGCGAAAGCAUUUGCCAAGGAUGUUUUCAUUAAUCAAGAACGAAAGUUAGGGGAUCGAAGACGAUCAGAUACCGUCGUAGUCUUAACCAUAAACUAUGCCGACUAGGGAUCGGAUGAUGUUAAUUUUUUAAUGACUCAUUCGGCGCCUUACG
rnacentral:rRNA from 1 species